rnacentral:rRNA from 2 species
ACAUUUCCUUAAGAUUUAUAUUUAAGGUAGGUUCUGCCCUAUGAUUAUAAGUAAUUAAAUUUAAAUGGCUGCAGUAUCUUGACUGUGCAAAGGUAGCAUAAUAAUUAGUUUCUUAAUUAGGGACUUGUAUGAAUGAAUUAAUGAGAUAUUUAUUAUAUUAUAAUUAUAUUUAUAAUUUAAAUUUUAAGUCAAAAUGCUUAAUUUUAUUAUCGGGACGAUAAGACCCUAUAGAACUUUUAAUCAAUUUUUACUUAUUAUUAUUUAGUUUUUAUAAUUAAAGUAGAAAUUUAUUUUUUACUGGGGUGGUGAAUAAAUAUCAAACUUUAUUUUUUUUUAUCAUUAAAUCUAUGUUUAUUUUGAUCCAUUAAUUGUGAUUAUAAGAUUAAGUUACCUUAGGGAUAACAGCGUAAUUUUAAUGGAAAGUUCAUAUUUAUAUUAGAGUUUGCGACCUCGAUGUUGAAUUAAGAUAAAAUUAAGGGGUAGGUUCUUUAAUAUUAGGUCUGUUCGACCUUUAAAUUCUUACAUGAUCUG